CAUUUGUUGCUGCUGUAUUGGCUGUUGCGGUUGUUUCCAACAAAGCUGGACAAGAAUUGCUUUGAAGAACCUUUUACAACACCCAAUUGUCAAUGAGUUAUUAAAAGUGAUAUGAACGAACCUUCGCUCUAAAUGAACAGAAGCGUCUGAACUGCACCAUCCUCUUGAGUACUCACUAGUGAGACUAAUGCAUCUAAAUUCUGUACACUUCACAAAGGCAGGAAUUCUUGUCUAUGUUGUUUACUUCUAUAUUCACAGCACUUAGUAACAAGCGCGUGGAAGGUAGAAUUUGUUGAAUUUGCUGAAUGAAUGUAGCCCUUUUAUCUAGCUGUGCCUAUAGGCUUGAGACCACCCACCAUUCCAAGCCAACAGGUGAGCUUCAUUUGUGUAUUCCGUACAAAAGACGACUCUCCUCCUCCAAACAGCUACCUGCUCUAAGUCUACCCAUGAUGAUUCUGUCCUCUCCUCCAGGAUCCCUCACUGGCCUCUGGUCCUCACACUCACUUUAACUAAACAUGAUAUCAAAAGAGAAGAACCAAGUCGGAGGACUGACACUACCCAACUUCAAGACUUACAAUAGAGCUCCAGUUGUGAAGACAGUGUGGCACUGAUGAAAGAACAGACAAACAGAUCAAUAGGUGAAAUCAGCGAGACACAGAAAGAAAAAUAUCACAUUAUCUCAGAAUCCAUUUUUUUAUCAAAAGGAAAAAAAUUAUAGACAGGAUAAAUUGUUGGAAGUGACUACUGAUGGAUUGAAUAUAUAUUUUUAAAAUAUUAUAUCACUUGUUUCAAGUAAGAAUUUUAAAUAAAUAUUGUGUGUUUCUGAAA